GACGUAGGGCGCGAGCGUUGUCCGGAUUUAUUGGGCGUAAAGAGCUCGUAGGCGGCUUGUUGCGUCGACUGUGAAAACCCGCGGCUUAACCGCGGGCCUGCAGUUGAUACGGGCAGGCUAGAGUUCGGUAGGGGAGACUGGAAUUCCUGGUGUAGCGGUGAAAUGCGCAGAUAUCGGGAGGAACACCAAUGGCGAAGGCAGCUCGCUGGGACGGUACUGACGCUGAGACGCGAAAGCGUGGGGAGCAAACAGG
rnacentral:rRNA from 1 species